GGAGACAUAGCUCAAUUAGUGGAGCUCCAAGCCUAGCAAGUGUGAGGUCCUGAGUUCAAAUCCCAGUACCACCA
rnacentral:tRNA from 1 species